GACGAACGCUGGCGGCGUGCUUAACACAUGCAAGUCGAACGCUGAACCCGCUUCGGUGGGGGAUGAGUGGCGAACGGGUGAGUAACACGUGGGCAACCUGCCCCCGGCUCUGGGAUAACUCCAAGAAAUUGGGGCUAAUACCGGAUGUGACCGCUGGCCGCAUGGUCUGGUGGUGGAAAGGGUUUCCGGCUGGGGAUGGGCCCGCGGCCUAUCAGCUUGUUGGUGGGGUAGUGGCCUACCAAGGCGACGACGGGUAGCCGGCCUGAGAGGGUGACCGGCCACACUGGGACUGAGACACGGCCCAGACUCGUACGGGAGGCAGCAGUGGGGAAUAUUGCGCAGUGGGCGGAAGCCUGACGCAGCGACGCCGCGUGGGGGAUGACGGCCUUCGGGUUGUAAACCUCUUUCAGCAGGGACGAAGCGCAAGUGACGGUACCUGCAGAAGAAGCACCGGCCAACUACGUG
rnacentral:rRNA from 1 species